rnacentral:tRNA from 1 species
AUGGGGCUAGUUUAAAUAAAACCGCCAAUUUCGGCUUGGCCAACCCUGUCCAAACCCAGGGCCCCAAA